UAUAUAUUAAUUGUUUAAUUUUAUUGAUUAAUAGUUAUUAAGUUCAAACUAAAAUCAAAUCUAAAUUACAAAAUCAAACAAAAAUCAAAACCGAGCGAUUUGAACUGAACCGAAUCGAAAUAAAGCGAUUCAAUUCAAUGCAAAUUUCAUCCAUUUUGGUUCGGUUCAGUUUCUAAAAUAUGUAAUUCGAUUUUUAUAAUUUAAUUCGGUUCGAUUUGAACCGAAUACUCA
rnacentral:misc_RNA from 1 species